rnacentral:misc_RNA from 1 species
AACUGAAGAGCUACGUUGA